UAAUAGAGAAUAGGUUUCUUCCGAAUCUUUUUUUUUAGAGAUAGGUAUCAUAAUAGAGAAUAGGUUUCUUCUGAAUCAUUUAUUUUUUAGAGAUACGUAGCAUACUACCCGCUUCGUUUAUUUCAUUUAGAAAUAAACUUAGCUGGAAAUAUGAAUCAACUAGAAUUCAAACUUGGGACCUCGGGUGCCAACCAUCAAAUCCUUUGCCACUUGCGCUUGAAACGGUCGAUUCUUCCGAAUCAAUUAUUAGAACUCUAUUUUCUCUUUUACAUA
rnacentral:lncRNA from 1 species